AUUCACUUACUCUGACAGCUGGGAUUGGGUUUGCUCCUUUUGGAAUGAAAUGUGAGUGUGUGAGCUCAAAACUGGAAAUACCUCACUGAGAAAAUCCUCUCCAGUUCUACCCUUUGGAUUUGUUUCUUUGCUUUUUUUUACUUUGCCCACAGUUGGUUAUUCCCAUCUGAAUCACCAGAAGCUGCCUGCGGUGAUCACAAAAGAGCCGGAUGCAGCCUCCAAAUCCCAGGGCUGAUUCUACAUUAGCCUCUGACCUGGGCUACUUUACAGUGCACCAUCCGACUGUGGCCCCUGGAGGGCAAUGCAUCAGCUGA